rnacentral:rRNA from 1 species
UACAGAGGGCUCAAGCGUUGUUCGGAUUCAUUGGGCGUAAAGGGCGUGUAGGUGGCGCCGUAAGUCGGGUGUGAAAUUUCGGAGCUUAACUCCGAAACUGCAUUCGAUACUGCGGUGCUUGAGGACUGGAGAGGAGACUGGAAUUCAUGGUGUAGCAGUGAAAUGCGUAGAGAUCGGAAGGAAGACCAGUGGCGAAGGCGGGUCUCUGGACAGUUCCUGACACUGAGGCACGAAGGCCAGGGGAGCAAACGGG